AUUUAUAUAGUUUAAUAAAACAUUACAUUUUCACUGUAAAAAUAAUAUGAAAAUAUUUAUAAAUA
rnacentral:tRNA from 9 species